GACGAACGCUGGCGGCGCGCUUAACACAUGCAAGUCGAGCGAAGCGGCGGACGGGUGAGUAACACGUGAGUAACCUGCCUUAGACAUUGGGAUAGCCUCGGGAAACCGGGAUUAAUACCAAAUGGUCUAAGAUGGACUCGCGUCCCAUUAGCAAGUUGGUGAGGUAACGGCCCACCAAGGCGGCGAUGGGUAGCCGGCGUGAGAGGGUGAAGGGCGAAUUGGGAACGGAGGAACUGGUCAAAAUCUACGGGAGGCAGCAGUUGGGAAUAUUGCACAAUGGAGGGAACUGUGAAGGAUCGACGCCGCGUAAACGAAGAAGGCUUUCGAAUCGUAAAGUUCUUUUAAAUGGGAAGCGGUACCAUAAGAAAAAGCCCCGGCUAACUACGUGCCAGCAGCCGCGGUAAUAC
rnacentral:rRNA from 1 species